GACGAACGCUGGCGGCGUGCUUAACACAUGCAAGUCGAACGGAAAGGCCCUGCUUUUGUGGUGUGCUCGAGUGGCGAACGGGUGAGUAACACGUGAGUAACCUGCCCUUGACUUUGGUAUAACUUCAGGAAACUGGGGCUAAUACCGGAUAGGAGCUCCUGCUGCAUGGUGGGGGUUGGAAAGUUUCGGCGGUUGGGGAUGGACUCGCGGCUUAUCAGCUUGUUGGUGGGGUAGUGGCUUACCAAGGCUUUGACGGGUAGCCGGCCUGAGAGGGUGACCGGCCACAUUGGGACUGAGAUACGGCCCAGACUCCUACGGGAGGCAGCAGUGGGGAAUAUUGCACAAUGGGCGGAAGCCUGGUGCAGCAACGCCGCGUGCGGGAUGACGGCCUUCGGGUUGUAAACCGCUUUCGCCUGUGACGAAGCGUGAGUGACGGUAAUGGGUAAAGAAGCACCGGCUAACUACGUG
rnacentral:rRNA from 1 species